rnacentral:tRNA from 1 species
GCCAGCGUAGCAUAAUUCGGUAGUGCCGCGGUUUCGUAAACCGCAGGUUGUGGGUUCAAAUCCCACCGCUGGCU